GACGAACGCUGGCGGCGUGCUUAACACAUGCAAGUCGAACGAUGAAGCUGGAGCUUGCUCCGGUGGAUCAGUGGCGAACGGGUGAGUAACACGUGAGCAAUCUGCCCUUGACUCUGGGAUAACUGCGGGAAACUGUAGCUAAUACCGGAUACUUUCACUGGAAGGCAUCUUCUGGUGAAGAAAGAAUUUCGGUCAAGGAUGAGCUCGCGGCCUAUCAGCUUGUUGGUGAGGUAACGGCUCACCAAGGCGACGACGGGUAGCCGGCCUGAGAGGGUGACCGGCCACACUGGGACUGAGACACGGCCCAGACUCCUACGGGAGGCAGCAGUGGGGAAUAUUGCACAAUGGGCGCAAGCCUGAUGCAGCAACGCCGCGUGAGGGAUGAAGGCCUUCGGGUUGUAAACCUCUUUUAGCAGGGAAGAAGCGAAAGUGACGGUACCUGCAGAAAAAGCACCGGCUAACUACGUGCCAGCAGCCGCAGUAA
rnacentral:rRNA from 1 species